rnacentral:rRNA from 1 species
AACCAGCUCUUCAAGUGGUCGGGAUAAUUAUUGGGCUUAAAGUGUCCGUAGCCGGUUUAGUAAGUUCCUGGUAAAAUCGGGUAGCUUAACUAUCUGCAUGCUAGGAAUACUGCUAUACUAGAGGGCGGGAGAGGUCUGAGGUACUACAGGGGUAGGGGUGAAAUCUUAUAAUCCUUGUAGGACCACCAGUGGCGAAGGCGUCAGACUGGAACGCGCCUGACGGUGAGGGACGAAAGCCAGGGGAGCGAACCGGAUUAGAUACCCGGGUAGUCCUGGCCGUAAACGAUGCAUACUAGGUGAUGGCACGGCCAUGAGCCAUGUCAGUGCCGUAGGGAAACCGUUAAGUGUGCCGCCUGGGAAGUACGGUCGCAAGGCUAAAACUUAAAGGAAUUGGCGGGGAGCACCACAAGGGUGAAGCCUGCGGUUU